rnacentral:rRNA from 1 species
CAGCCGCCACGGUAAUACGGAGGGUGCAAGCGUUAAUCGGAAUUACUGGGCGUAAAGCGCACGCAGGCGGUUUGUUAAGUCAGAUGUGAAAUCCCCGAGCUUAACUUGGGAACUGCAUUUGAAACUGGCAAGCUAGAGUCUUGUAGAGGGGGGUAGAAUUCCAGGUGUAGCGGUGAAAUGCGUAGGGAUCUGGAGGAAUACCGGUGGCGAAGGCGGCCCCCUGGACAAAGACUGACGCUCAGGUGCGAAAGCGUGGGGAGCAAACAGGAUUAGAUACCCGUGUAGUCCCUGUCUCUUAUAC